AGAGUUUGAUCCUGGCUCAGGACGAACGCUGGCGGCGCGCCUAACACAUGCAAGUCGAACGAGAGAGAGGGAGCUUGCUUCCUCAAUCGAGUGGCGAACGGGUGAGUAACGCGUGAGGAACCUGCCUCAAAGAGGGGGACAACAGUUGGAAACGACUGCUAAUACCGCAUAAGCCCACAGGUCGGCAUCGACCAGAGGGAAAAGGAGCAAUCCGCUUUGAGAUGGCCUCGCGUCCGAUUAGCUAGUUGGUGAGGUAACGGCCCACCAAGGCAACGAUCGGUAGCCGGACUGAGAGGCUGAACGGCCACAUUGGGACUGAGACACGGCCCAGACUCCUACGGGAGGCAGCAGUGGGGAAUAUUGCACAAUGGGGGAAACCCUGAUGCAGCGACGCCGCGUGAGGGAAGAAGGUUUUCGGAUUGUAAACCUCUGUCCUUGGUGACGAUAAUGACGGUAGCCAAGGAGGAAGCCACGGCUAACUACGUGCCAGCAGCCGCGGUAAUACGUAGGUGGCAAGCGUUGUCCGGAAUUACUGGGUGUAAAGGGAGCGUAGGCGGGAAAGCAAGUUGGGAGUGAAAUGUAUGGGCUCAACCCAUAAACUGCUUUCAAAACUGUUUUUCUUGAGUGAAGUAGAGGCAGGCGGAAUUCCUAGUGUAGCGGUGAAAUGCGUAAAUAUUAGGAGGAACACCAGUGGCGAAGGCGGCCUGCUGGGCUUUAACUGACGCUGAGGCUCGAAAGCGUGGGUAGCAAACAGGAUUAGAUACCCUGGUAGUCCACGCCGUAAACGAUGAUUACUAGGUGUGGGGGGACUGACCCCUUCCGUGCCGGAGUUAACACAAUAAGUAAUCCACCUGGGGAGUACGACCGCAAGGUUGAAACUCAAAGGAAUUGACGGGGGCCCGCACAAGCAGUGGAGUAUGUGGUUUAAUUCGAAGCAACGCGAAGAACCUUACCAGGUCUUGACAUCCUUGGAUCGCUUAAGAGAUUAAGCUUCCCCUUCGGGGGCUGAGAGACAGGUGGUGCAUGGUUGUCGUCAGCUCGUGUCGUGAGAUGUUGGGUUAAGUCCCGCAACGAGCGCAACCCUUGUUGCUAGUUGCUACGAAAGAGCACUCUAGUGAGACUGCCGUUGACAAAACGGAGGAAGGUGGGGAUGACGUCAAAUCAUCAUGCCCCUUAUGACCUGGGCUACACACGUACUACAAUGGCCGUAAACAGAGGGAGGCAACACCGCGAGGUGAAGCGAAACCCAAAAAACGGUCCCAGUUCAGAUUGCAGGCUGCAACUCGCCUGUAUGAAGUCGGAAUUGCUAGUAAUCGCAGAUCAGCAUGCUGCGGUGAAUACGUUCCCGGGCCUUGCACACACCGCCCGUCA
rnacentral:rRNA from 1 species